AUUUCUGUUAGUGAAUCUUUAAUAUGGGACUGUAUGAGAUGACUUUUUGCUUUUCUUUCUGUGCAGGUCAACUUUGUAGUGUGCCAGCUGUUUGCCUUGCUUGCAGCUAUCUGGUUUCGAACAUACCUUCAUUCAAGCAAAACCAGCCCAUUUAUAAGACAUGUUGUUGCAACCCUCUUGGGCCUUUAUCUUGCACUUUUUUGUUUUGGAUGGUAUGCCUUACAUUUUGUUAUACAAAGUGGAAUUUCCUACUAUAUCAUGAUCAUAAUAGGAAUUGAAAAUAUGCACAAAUUCCCUGGAUGUAGCUACUCCAGCCCCUUUCGAGGUGCUUCCUGGUCAUCAAGAAGACUCUCUUUUAUCCUCAAAGGAGGAUCUGAAGCAGCAUCUAAAAUUAAGCAUCAGCAAACCAACAGGCUGAAAUUACAAAAUCUAAUAAUCUUUAAAGAUUUGACUUAGAAAUGCUAUCAAUUUCUAAUAAUAAUUUUAAGCAAACCUAGGAUUGAAAACCUGCCAAUGUAAUUUUCAUUUCUUUAAAGGGGAGAAGAGUAUCCAGGGGACUUUAGGCUAUUUGGCAUAACUUCUCAGUUACAAAUUUUAUAACUUAUUCAAGUAACUCAGAAAUGUCUGAUACAUAGAUAGCUGCCAAAGGACAGUGGCUAUACACCUGGAGUCAGAAUUUGUUGAAGUAUUAAUAGCUGCAGACUGUUCUGCAUGAACAAACAAAAUGUUUCCUUCAUUUCUGCUUCAACAAUUAGUUCAAAUAAGAUGAAUUCAUUCAGUUAAAGUAAUUGAGAGCUGAAAAAGCAGAAGUGUCAUCUUAUCAUCCACAUAAGGAUAAAUGCAAGAUGGGAGAAGAUGAGAUCUGCUGGUUCUAUAGCCUUAAGUAAUACCCAGAUUGAAGAAAAACAACCACAACAAAACAGUACUGUUCUAUCACUAGAAGCAAUUCUUGUUGUUUUAUCAGAUCUGUGUUAAAUGUAAAAUAAACCCUGUUAAAACUGUAUCA
rnacentral:lncRNA from 1 species